UAUUUACACUCAACCAAAUACCUUUUCCACUGGACUGUACAAUCUAUACAUGAUCUAUCAAAAUUACAAACAGUAAUAACAAAAGACCUAGGAUUGGUCCGACCUCCUCUAGACUCUGAGUGGACAAUGUGGAAGGAAUGUCAACUAGGAGAUGAGGACUGCUGAACGGAUCACCAAAAAGGAACUAACAUAUAAAAGAAAUAAGAGUGAGUACAACAUACUCAGUGAGCGGAUAAAUAAAUAACAAAGGGGAAAAGAUAAGUUUAGGUACUUAAUAGUACCAAAUAUUUAGCGAAAAUAAGUCAGCUGAAUAAAUACAAUGUAAAUUCCAUUAACAUAAAAUAAACUGUGAAAAAUAGAAUCCGCAUACACUCAUAAUAUGUUCCCUGCAGAUAAUGCUGGCAUCUCAAGUGUAAUAAAAUAAUAACAGCCUGAGAGCAAUGCUGACAUCUUAGGCUCUAUAAUGACAAAUUUGGCCCAAGAGCAAAUAAAAUGCUGGUCAUACACAUGUGCAGAGCUACCCCCAAAGGGUGACCACCUGACAUACGCCCCAAAGGCUAUUUGUAUAUCAAGCGCUGUCCCAAAGACAGUAUAAAUAUAUAUCAUGCUGAAAAUAAAUCACCUGUCAUCAAGGUGUUAUCUGUUCGGUGCAUAUACAGAGUGUAAUCGGCUAUUUAUUCAGCUGUGCUUUAAAUUAAAUUUCCAUUUAUUUAAGAAAUAUAAAAUAACGUUAUCCUUUCCCAUUUUAAAUAAACAAAAUAACAUAUACACAUAUAAAUAUAUUUAAGAAAAAUAUCAAUGUUAUGUAUUUAUCCACUCACCAAAACAGAGGACAAAAAGACCUAGGUUGCAGGAGCACCCCUAUUGUCUAUCCUGGAAGCUGGAUCCUCUCCUAGAAUUAAAAAGAAAAAUAAAUAAUAUAUCAAAUAAUAAAUAAAUAUUCUAGAAUAAAAAUAUAAAACGUAAAAUACAAAAUUUUAAAUAUAUUUAUAUAUAUAUAUUUUGAAGAAAAUUUCGGCAGUAUUUCGGCAUAGUUAGUCCUCCCAAAAAUACUCAAACUCAACAAAAAUACUCAAUAAGCUGUAAAUAUUAUUUAAAUCAAAUUAUGAAAAUCAUAAAUUCCAAAAAUAAAUAUUAAAACUCAUUAAUUAAAUCUAACUAAAACAUAUACCCUUUUUAUGCUCAAAUCACCAAAAUUACUAUUAAAAGGUAGAGAAAAUAAAUUAUAUCGUAAAAAUUUGAAUAAAAGGGACAAAACUCACCUACCCAAUUUUGGAGCCUCUAGAAGAAAUUAUUGAAUUUCUGAGCGGAAUAUAGGUUUAAAUCAGGAUCUAGCUGAAGGAUCUUAGAAGUUUGUGGGUUGAUUGGGUUGAGGAAGAAGAGAUUUAGAUUUAAAGAAAAGGAAAUUUUUUUUUUAUUUAUUUAUUUAUGGGCUGGGCCCGAUAAUUCUCUCCUCCUAAAAGAAAUUUCGUCCUCGAAAUUUACAUACCUGGUGAAGGGAAUAAAUGUGGAAAUUGAAUUUGCAUAUUCUCUUCUUUUUCCCAGGUAGCUUCUUUAGCA
rnacentral:lncRNA from 1 species